AUGAAAACACCUCCCUCGGAUGGAAGAAAAUAAGACCAUGAUAUCGCGCUAUUUUAUAAGCUUUUCCUGAUGGAGAUUUUCAUAGUAAUACCUCCCGAUAUUCCUUUUCAAUUAUCCAUCAAAAAAGUUAGGUUUGUGGAGAGAGGGACAGCUUGGACAUUACCAGAUGGAGUUUGACCAGAAGCCUAAAACAAUGUCGGCAGCUGAUAACAGCACCACCUUAAUUAACCAGAAAGGGGUAAUGGAUCUGCUGCUCAAUUUUCUUCACGCCAUCCUAUAUAUAUAGGUGAUAUAUAUGUAUGGAAGAGCCAAAGAAUUGUUGUGCAGGUGAAGAUAAGAAAGAAACAUGAAAGGAACUACUGUCGCAGGAGGGAUGAUGCAGGGUGCAAUGGUGGAUCUCGAUGCUACGAAUUGAGCUUUAAGCAUCGUCUCUCCUCGACAGAAGCCCAUUCCAAUUUCUUCGGUUUCAGAUAACCAUUUUUUUUCUGCAUCAUUAACGUGGAGGCGACUGAAAAUUUUGCUUUUCGAGUCCUCGAUCGUGUUUGAGGAUUUCAAAUUUACUACAUUCUCCUUUGGUCUGCUCUCUGCAAAUUCAGUCUUGGCCCAUUGCAUACUGAUCUGCUAACAUAUAUAGUUUAGUUUAUACUUUAUAGUUUUUCAGCUGAUUUUUCAUGGUAGUUUGGUCCUUGUUUUAGUGCACACUGUGAAGCAUUUCAAUGAACAUGUACAUCGAGUUUUAGGAUCGACGUAGAAUUUGGUGGUCACUCGGGAUAAUCUAGGCAUUGUGCCCUCUUUUCGAAGAUUCGGGAAGCUAAAAGAGGCAAUGCACGUUAUAGUACUGCAAUAAGAGGUUAAGAUGAAAAUACAGGGAAAUCAAAACCUUGCAAUAGCUUAAAUUCAGCUUACGAUGUAAGUAUACAUUCAUCAUGUAUGGAAUUUGGGCACAAUGGAUCGGUGGAUCCGUUCGAAAACUUUGCUCAUCCAGCAGCAUAUGUACAAUGUCUAAAUGCUCGUAGCUAUGUUGGCGGAGAUGGCGUAACAGUAAACCGAGCAUAAAUGAUGUGAAUGUGCACUUGAUGUUAGAAACUUCCCAGUAGGUGUGCUUGGCAAAACGUAAAGGAAAAUGUAUCCCUAGUUCACAACCUUUGCAUAAUACUCUCUGCUUUUGCAGAAAGCAAUUAAAAUCAUCAAUAAUCUCCUGCUUCUUCUUAGGAUCCAUUGCCAGUGUCCGAAACGACGCAGGGUGCUCGAAAACUAAGUGAUUCCAUAAAUGCUUCCCAUCCCAGUCCCAGAUAUGGCUCGGCUUGUUCGUGUAAAGCUUCCAUUGACGGUUUUUGAGCUCGAUGGCCUUCCCUUCUAUUCAACAUUAGUAAGUUAGGGAUAAAAAUAUACUACUGAUAUUUUGGAGGAAAAUUAGGAGAAAAUCAAGUCUAAUUGGUUAUAUUUGUGUCGAACAAUAAGUAAAAGCAGUAAUUAUCCCGUUAAUGCUCCUGGUAUCAAGGAGACUAAGUCAGUGGGUUCAACCAACACCUAUGAUUUUUC